rnacentral:tRNA from 1 species
GGCGAAAUAGCUCAGUCGGGAGAGCGUUAGACUAUUAAUCGAAAGGUCCCUGUUUCGAUUCCAGAUUACGGCA